GACAAAACCACAAUCAAAGAGUACACAUGGAGGGACCCAUGGCUCCAUCUGCAUAUGCAGCAGAAAGUUGUCUUAUCUAGCUUCAAUGGGAGGGGAGACUCUUGGUCUUAUGAAGGCUUGUUGCCCUAGCAUAGGGGAAUGCUAGAGGGGUGAGGUGGGAGUGGGUGGGUAGGUUGGGGAACACACUCAUAGAGGCAGGGGGUGGGAUGAGGUAGUUUGCAGAGGGAAGACUGGGGACUAGGGACAACAUUUGAAAUGUAAAUAAAUAAAGUAACCAAUUAAUUAAAAGGCGGGGGCUAUUAGACAUUCUUAUAUCAUCUAAAGGCCACCUGGAGCUCUGGGUUAUGUAAAUCCAAAGAGCAGGUGCUCUAGUCAAGAAAACAGGAACUCUUUGUUCAGGGAACAGCUUCAAAAGAAUGGUGAUUUAUAGAGGUAGAGGAUAUAUGUUAAUAGAGGACACUUGGCAUCUUCCUCUGGCUACUACACAUGCCCCGGGCACAUGCAGCAGCACGUACCCACUCACAGACAUAUUCACAUACAUGUAAAGAAGUAACUAAGUAGAUCCUUUAAAACUAAAACAAAGAGUUGAGUUACAGUUGAGUCUGUCAACUCAUUUACUGAAAGUCUUCUAAGAAAAGCACCAUUCUCAUAUAGAUAAUAAAGCCUCAUUUCUCUACCCCAGGUGGUCUCCAUUCUUUUUUUUUUUUUAGCUCCUGGAUUCUAUGAUGUUCUUUUAGAAGUAUGUAGCUGCCUCUUGUGGAAGAUAGACAUGCAUGUUCUGACAGCUCAAAGAAAAAAUUAUUUAUGGA
ensembl:lincRNA Platr10 pluripotency associated transcript 10